AGACUUACUUACUUUGUCUACUUUUCUUACUCCAUGUAGGUUUCCCAGAGACUAUGGGUUGAGGAGGAAGUGGAAGUUUGUCGGCUUAGACCUGUGUCAUUCCAUCAGUGUUAAACUUCCCGGCUCAUCUUGGAAGAGUACGUGCCAGAAAGACCACGACCAAGCAGCCUUGAGAUCUUAGGCAGCGUCUCCCUGAGACCAAAGAACUACAGACUCUUCACAACCUGCUCAAACUCUUGGUACAGGACCUCACCACACGGGUCAAGAAGGUUUCCGUCUCAUUUCUACUCUGAAGCUCACCUUCUCCUGCUCAAACUGCUGGCAAAUGUUUCUGCUGCUCUAAAGUCUGGUCUCCAGAACUUCCUAAAAACUCUCAAAGUCUCUUCUGCUGCAGGUUGCUUUGUAGAACUGUUCCAGAAAACCUCACUAAACCACAUGGAGGGGCCUCAAGAUAGUCGUCCAAACGAAACGGUACAAAAACCAAACUAGCACAACCCAAACGCUAAAGUCUCCUGCAGCCUACCAGAGAACCUCUGAGAACAGAGAAUCAGCACAGGAACUCUUACCUUCUGGACAACCAACGUUGCUUCACAAACAAGAAUACAGAAUGUGUCUGACCAAAAACCUCUAAAGACUCACUACAGCCAAGAUAAAGACACAACUCAGCUGUACCAAAUCCACUAAUCACUGCACACAUUAGCACCAUGUGCUAACUGUGGCUAAAGAACCACAUUUACCAAGACAACUAUCCAGUACAAAACCCUGAAACACACCAAGAAACACAUUAAAGACGAUUUUACUGCUGGAAGCUGCAAGCCAACGCCUA
ensembl:lncRNA